ensembl:lncRNA
AGAAAAAUGAAAUUAUUCAGCUAACUCUUUAAAUACCUAUUUAAUUCUCUUGGAACUCUAAUUUCAACUCAUUUUCAUCAUAGAUAAUCAUUUCAUACAAUCCCCCCUUGCUUUCACAACAGAGUCAACGGAAAAUGACUCCAAGUGAAAGCAGAACCAUUACAGGACGGACAUGAAAAAGAAAAUUGAUAGAUGGGAGGAAUCUAACAUGCACUCACGAAAAAGUCGCAAACUGAAAAUCUAAGAAAAACACCCCAAAAAAAUAUAAAAAAAACAACUGUACCACACGGUCGCUUGUGUGAAGGAAGCAUAUUGAAACAACUCCCAAAUUAGCAUUUCAAAAUUAGCCUGUCCACAGGCAACGGCCAAACCAAGGUGAAACAAAACAAGCAUCAUGACUCAAUUUACCUCCUGAAGUCUAGGGAAUUCUCUCAACUUAGAUGUAUGUCUAUGUUCCUCAAAAUAGUGGCAGUCAACCAAAAUCGCUACUUAGCAACAGUAGGGGAAAAAAAUGCUCAAAGUCCCUAAAAUCAAGGAACAAUCAGUGAGUGAUCCCCAUGAUACCCCAGUCUAGAUCUCCAAAUACAGCCACAUCAAUGGUUGUGGUUCUUGGGGGAGGCCUACUCUUUCGGCUUUUGCCUUUGUGCUGAAAUUGCGAAAUUGAACUUUGCCUUCUAGUUGUUGUGCUGGUGGCUGGCACACGUGGGAGUGUUAGUCUGCUAACUUAGCAGUUUUUCUUAGAUUUUCAGUUUGCGACUUUUUCGUGAGUGCAUGUUAGAUUCCUCCCAUCUAUCAAUUUUCUUUUUCAUGUCCGUCCUGCAAUGAAUGCGUUCACCCAAACAGACACCAAACAAGACAAAACAUUGCGAUUACAAAACUUCCAAGUUAACACCAACCUCGGUAAAUCAAGGAAUACACAAUGCAGCCAAUCGGAUCCCUCGUGCACAGGGAAUACCAAAACGGACAAAUGAAUUUACUAGGUCGACCACAAACAGAUAUCGACAAAAGCCUGUGACCUGGGCCACAACCACAGACAGAACAACACAAUUGGCGCGUGCAUAUACAACUUCAUUGGCACAACUACUAAUUUAAACCAAUUUAGGCAAUUUACAGGAGCAUCCCUACUCCCUCCUACCGUCUCUGAUAUUUUAAGGAUGAGGUCCAACCUCAACUGCAUAUUUAAGUCCAACCUAAAUUGAAGAUUUUCCAGCAGUCCAACUUCCGCAGUCCAACUGCUUAAUAUCCUGCACGAAAUCGCCCCGCAAUAGGUUAGCUGCAUGGGAAUGGUCGUCAGGACAUGGAACAAAACGAUAUUCUUCUAACUACAGGCGCUAUAACUAAAAUACCCGAAAACAUUUCCAUAACACAGCGUAAGACCUUGGGCCUGAGACAGGCGGGUCCAGUGACACUGUGGCCCUAUCCAGGGGAGGCCCUGUACAAGGCCACACAGGCAGGAAGUCAAUCCACCCACAUUGCCAAGCAUCAACCAAAGGGACACCAACCAACCGCAACCACCCUGAAAUGAGGGCCGAAUAUUGCCUGCAGAGUUCACUCCAAUUUUCACAAUGUUUUUUUUACCUCUUUUGGGGGGGGGGGCAAGUCUUAAUUAGGGUGGUCAAACCCCCCAAUCCCGAUUCGAAACCCUGCUUAUUGGUGCUCUUUAUUAAGAGUGUGGUUCUCGUCUUAGGGAAGUGAACAUAGACAUGCCUCCUAGUCUGCCAUGGGGGCUGCAGUGAGGUGGGAGGUAUGAUAUCCUUAGGGGUGUUUAUGGGGUCUUCCCAAUAUAAACUGGGAGGUAUGAUAUCCUUAGGGGUGUUUCUGGGCUCUUCUGAAUAUAAACUGGGAGGUAUGAUAUCCUUAGGGGGGUUUCUGGGCUCUUCUGAAUAUAAACUGGGAGGGUUCGUUGGGCAAGGUGCCAGCUAAGCUAAGUCGAAAUGUCCGUGUUUGUUGCCACUAAUGUCUUAUGGGGGUAGAGUGUGAGGCAUUAAUAACAUGUCUGCCUCUACUCUCUCUGGCAGUGGCAGACAUUCGUGGUGUUGGAGCUCCCGGUCUGGCUGCUACUGGAGACACGAAGGCGUUUCCUUGACUUCAUCGGGUCUGGACACCGCUGGGUACGAGCUCCAAUGCUGUGACUAGUUCAAGUUCAAAUGUUUAUUUGUAAUUUGCAAGAACAAGUUACUGCAAUGAAAUGCUUGGUUUUCCUACUCCCGACAGUGCAGUUAAAAGUUGAAAAGUAGCAGUAAUUAUAAUUUUUUUAAAUAAGAAGAUAACACAAUCAAUCAGUAAUAACACUAUACAAAGAUAUGCAUCAAUAAUAAUAAAUAUACAACUAUACAACCGUAGUGCAAUGUAAAAGUGACAGGUGUGCAUGAUAUAAAGUGACAGGUGUGCAUGAUAUAAAGUGACAGGUGUGCAUGAUAUAAAGUGACAGGUGUGCAUGAUAUAAAGUGACAGGUGUACAUGAUAUAAAGUGACAGGUGUGCAUGAUAUAAAGUGACAAGUGUGCAUUAUAUAAAGUGACAGGUGUGCAUGAACUAUGGAUGGAAGGGAAGAGGGGAGCCAACUACCUGGUCAACAGGGGGGCCAAGGACCAUGGGACGUACAGAGGGCCUUGCUGUAGAGCCCAGGGGGUCUGGACUGUGACAGACAGCUGUUUGUAUACAAGCGGGAAUGGGUGGAUGGUACGGCACAACCUCUGUUCUGGAAAACACUGGAGCUUCUUAACCGUUUAUUCUGGGGGGAAAAGAGAAGAGAGAAAAUACUAUAAAGCUCAAAACAAGAAUAUUAUUACAGAAUGUUGUACUCAACCCACAUAUUGUUUUAUGUUGCUGGACUGAAUGUAAUAAGAGAGAGACUAUGAAAGUUAACUAAUACCACCUCAUGGUGUUAUUUUCUGCCCAGGAUAAAAGAUAAUAAGAGAUCCAGCACAAUUGGGUCCAUGCCUUCAGGUUGCCUUGAAAAUAAAUUAGAACCAGAGGGUAACAUCAGCUUAGAAAAUAUAUUGUUCAAG